rnacentral:lncRNA from 1 species
AAUUUUUCACAAGGUCCUGCUUACAGGCAUGCUGGUGGUGGUGGAGGUCCAGUCAAUUCCACAGAAUAAGCAGGGUCAGAUCAGGUGGGAAGGCAAGAGCAGAGACCUCCUAGAAGAUCCCUGAGUGCUACAGAAACAGAGCCCUGCUGCAAGUUUCUCCUAGUACAGCAACACAAUAUUUUAUUGAAUUACACCAGGUCAGUGUCCUGAAGGAGUGUUUGGAUGAACUUCAUGAAGAGAGAUCAACUUUCAGCUGAAGCACGGAAGAAGGCUUUCCAAGAAGAAGUUUUGUCACUUUCAGUUAGUUUUGCUAAGAAAUAGCAGAGCCUUCAGGUUGCUCACAGCUUCUACUGAGAUGUCAUGGACCCUGUUACACCAAGACAAAAAUUACUAGAGUGUCCUGAAUUUUUGUAAUGUAAAUGCAAAGAAGGGAAGCCUGAAAAGCAGUGCUGUGCUCAAGAUGGGCUGCAGUUUGAUAGGACCAACUACACUUGAAUCAUCUCUCUUAUAAUCAAUUUUUUCCUCAGAGCUCU